rnacentral:rRNA from 1 species
AGCGAACGCUGGCGGCAGGCCUAACACAUGCAAGUCGAACGAACCUUUCGGGGUUAGUGGCGGACGGGUGAGUAACACGUGGGAACGUGCCCUUAGGUUCGGAAUAACUCAGGGAAACUUGUGCUAAUACCGAAUGUGCCCUUCGGGGGAAAGAUUUAUCGCCUUUAGAGCGGCCCGCGUCUGAUUAGCUAGUUGGUUGAGGUAAUGGCUCACCAAGGCGACGAUCAGUAGCUGGUCUGAGAGGAUGAUCAGCCACAUUGGGACUGAGACACGGACCAAACUCCUACGGGAGGCAGCAGUAGGGAAUCUUGCGCAAUGGGCGAAAGCCUGACGCAGCCAUGCCGCGUGAAUGAUGAAGGUGUUAGGAUUGUAAAAUUCUUUCACCGGGGACGAUAAUGACGGUACCCGGAGAAGAAGCCCCGGCUAACUUCGUG